rnacentral:rRNA from 1 species
CCUACGGGCGGCUGCAGUGGGGAAUAUUGCACAAUGGGCGCAAGCCUGAUGCAGCCAUGCCGCGUGUGUGAAGAAGGCCUUCGGGUUGUAAAGCACUUUCAGCGGGGAGGAAGGCGUUAAGGUUAAUAACCUUGGCGAUUGACGUUACCCGCAGAAGAAGCACCGGCUAACUCCGUGCCAGCAGCCGCGGUAAUACGGAGGGUGCAAGCGUUAAUCGGAAUUACUGGGCGUAAAGCGCACGCAGGCGGUCUGUCAAGUCGGAUGUGAAAUCCCCGGGCUCAACCUGGGAACUGCAUUCGAAACUGGCAGGCUAGAGGCUUGUAGAGGGGGGUAGAAUUCCAGGUGUAGCGGUGAAAUGCGUAGAGAUCUGGAGGAAUACCGGUGGCGAAGGCGGCCCCCUGGACAAAGACUGACGCUCAGGUGCGAAAGCGUGGGGAGCAAACAGGAUUAGAUACCCCUGUAGUC